rnacentral:pre_miRNA from 1 species
GUCCUUGAAUUCUCUAAUCUCUGUUCCCAAUUACACUUAAUCCAUGAAAAGAUCAAGUGAGUUUGGGAUCAGAAAUUAGAGAUAUCAAUACU